rnacentral:rRNA from 1 species
UGUGCCUACGGGACGCAGCAGUGAGGAAUAUUGGUCAAUGGGCGCGAGCCUGAACCAGCCAAGUCGCGUGAGGGAAGACGGUCCUAUGGAUUGUAAACCUCCUUUGUCGGGGAGCAAAAGACGCCACGCGUGGCGUUCCGAGAGUACCCGAAGAAAAAGCAUCGGCUAACUCCGUGCCAGCAGCCGCGGUAAUACGGAGGAUGCGCGCGUUAUCCGGAUUUAUUGGGUUUAAAGGGUGCGCAGGCGGAAGAUCAAGUCAGCGGUAAAAUUGAGAGGCUCAACCUCUUCGAGCAGCUGAAACUGGU